CACGUGGGGAACCUGCCCCUAUAGUCUGGGAUACCACUUGGAAACAGGUGCUAAUACCGGAUAAGAAAGCGGAUCGCAUGAUCAGCUUUUAAAAGGCGGCGUAAGCUGUCGCUAUGGGAUGGCCCCGCGGUGCAUUAGCUAGUUGGUAAGGUAAAGGCUUACCAAGGCGAUGAUGCAUAGCCGAGUUGAGAGACUGAUCGGCCACAUUGGGACUGAGACACGGCCCAAACUCCUACGGGAGGCAGCAGCC
rnacentral:rRNA from 1 species